rnacentral:lncRNA from 1 species
GGGAUCUCCUCCCUCCUUGAUUAUUAUAUAUCACUUAUAUCAUAAUCUUGGAAAGUGUCAGAAAUAGUCUGGUUUUCUAAUGAAGGGGCUUUAGGAAAUCAUCAUCAGAUUUAUAUCUCUUAUAUAAGAGAGAAGAGAGGUCCUUUGUGAGGAGUCCAUAGGGAUGGAGGUGACAGACCGGAAGAGGAAAGGUUGGAACUAGAUCAUGGAAGACUUCAAAGGUCUGUGUUCAAGAUCAGUUGAUCUUGGAGAACUGGGCGGGGGUGGGGGGUGGGAGGGGAAUCAACUGAAUGACAUGAUUAGAGCUAUAACUCCAACAAAAGAAAGAAUAUAACAUGUCUUAGCAGAAAAAAAAUAAAAUUCAAAGAGAGUGGAGAGUAUUCUGUAUUUCCCAGUGGCAUAGAGGAGGGACCUGAACUAAGAGAGUGGGAAUGGAGGGGGGCGAUCCUCUGAGGUGGAAGGAUCAGACUGGAUGAUUGUUUGUUUGAUGAUAAUUUGCCUGUAGGGGCACAUGGAAAGAAAAAGAACUGGGAUGGUACUGAGGUCCCUGGCAUUAGUGACACAGAGGAUGAAAGGUUUUGAAGAUUCAGGGGGAUGGAUGAUGAUCUCGUUUUGUGCCACAGGCCAGUGGAUUUAGAAUUGAGAAAUGAUUGACACGGGAGGUGAUGUCUUCAUGAAUGGUAAUCCAAUUUUGAUGUGAAAAAUAUGUGAAAGUUGGGGAAGUAAUAAUAUCUCAUAAACUUGUAUAGCUUGGCAGAGGAGAAAGAAUGAGGUCAUGGGUGAGACUAGCUUGUUUAGUAAUAAUAAAGCUGAUAAUCACAGCUGAGAGUCACUGAGCUCUUCCAGGCACCAAGGAGUGCUUCUCAUCACACCCUCGUCAAAGAGACUGUGUUAUUAUUUUCUUUCUGCUGACAAAGGAAGAAAGACACGUAGAACACAAUAGAAAGUCAUCCUCCAUGUAAUAGACAUGUUUCAAGACUACAGCAUGGCACCUGAGUUUAGGAGUAAGAAAAUGGAUUCACAACAGGAGCUAGAAUGUAAUUAAUAUUUCGUAGCACUUUGCAUACACCUUUGUUUUAUAAUUGCUAAGGCACAGGACCACUGCUGUCUAAAACAUACAGUGGAGAUACAAGUCUGAUGAUUUUCUAAGACCCCUUCAUUAGAAAAGCAGACUAUUUAAGGUGGAUUUCCGACACUUUCCAAGAUUAUUGUAUAAGUGUGACUUAGAAUAGAAACUUCAAUGCGUUGAGUUAAUAUUUAUAAAAGUGGUUAGAAUGGUGCUUAAUAAGAAGUCAAAUAACAUUAGCCAUUAUUAUUAGCAUCACAUCAAUCCAUAGAGCCAGUAAAGAUAGAGUGCUGUUUACCAAGCACUGGGGAAUUGAGAUGAAAGACAGAGCCUGCCAUUAAGGAACAGUCUAAGGGGCAGGAAGGCAAAGCAGCCAACUACAGAGGGUACUGAUCCAUUAAAAAAUAAAAGAUUGAGUUAAUUAUCGAAUAUCUUAAGUGGUGUGCACUUUCUAAGCCUUGAAGACAGAAGAAAUAGCAAAGACAAAUAAAAUUAAAUGCAUUCGUGUUUAUAACUUUCAUACCAAAUAAAAGAUCCAAUUAGGCCCUGCUUGAAUUGUGAAUUUGUAAUAUAAUUUGUAGGAAAAUAAAGAAAGGAAACUGCCUUUAAGGUAUAUAAUAGUAUCAAUUACCUAGUAAGCAUCUCAUGGAUUUUGAUGAUGAAUAUAUGUGACCAGCCAUUUGCUAAAGAGUAAUCAACAUGUCUAAACAAAAACAAUAGCAACAACAAAAAAACCCCUACAACUUUAACAGUAAUCAGGGAAAUAUAAAUUAAAACCAUCAGAAGAUACUUUUUCCUUUUCAGAUUCGUUUCCGUUGCCCCCAGUGAAACUCCACAAGAUAAUUUUUAGAAAAGACAGAAGCAUUAGUAAUAAUCAUUACUAUAAAACAGCAAAUAAUUUUAUGAUAGGCAAAUAGGUUUUUUUUUUUUUCAAUCUAGUUACAAAUCAGCUAAGCCAUGGAAAAAUAUGCUAGAGGGUAGGCUAGAUGUAAAAAGUUUAGACCAAAUUUCUUCAUAGACCAAUAUGAGGAGUUGAGAGCCCUUCUACUUUUAAAAUACUCUGUUCUGUGAGUCUUUAGUAUCACAAAGUAUAAAGUUGAAGAAUAUCAGAUUCUUUUCAACUAGAGGAUGAACACUGAGUCUUCCAUUUGAUUUUUAACACAACGGCUCUGUUUAUUAUAACCGUUUGUUACCAUGAAAGUAUAAACUGAAAGGUAGCAAUGAUGGGUGAGUGUAAUAUAUUAUGUUGAAUAAACUUGUCCCGUGCACAGUACAUGGAAAGCUCUGUUUAUAUUACAGUAAGCUGUUUUCUGCUGCAUUUACAAUUCUGCUAGGCAAAUAAAGAGGGCUUAUGACAGCCCAAUUUAGUUUAUCUGGUCAACCCCCCAAGACAUUAUUAUAAUUUUAGCAUCUUUAACUCUAUUUGGAUAUUUAGAAAUGCAAUAUCAAUGAAGUCUUUUCUAAAAGAAAAGAGUGAUUUCGCUGAUCAUUUAGAAAAAAGAACAAAAUUACUGGACCAAAACCUGGACGUACAGUUCAGCAGACAUCAAACUUGCAAAGGAGGUGAAUAUAAAAGUCACUGUGUGAGAUUGAAGGAGACUUUAAAAAUAAAAUACACAUAUAAAUGGAAAUAUAUAUAAAAUAUUUUUUCACACACCUUCCCACAGUUGGUUCAGGUUUCAACUUUGGUUUGGGCCCAGGGUAAAAAAGGGGUAUUAAAGGGGGGUGUAGAAUUUGCUAAUGGUUCUACAUUCUCUUCUCUAUUAUGUGGAAUAGAAAUCAAGACAAGAAAUGUAGUUAAUUAUAGUAUUUACUUAACGAGGUUUAAUUUUCUGUUACGUAGGAUGAGGGUUCACCUUCUGGUAUGUAUGUUUAAUUGUAGCCUAAAGAGGCAGGGCAACAGGACCGAGUGGAAGGAGGCCUGGGUUUGGAGUAAGAAAAUCCAAAUCCUGGCUCAGCUGCAUGUCAGGUAGGUGACUAGGUGAUCACUUAACACACUACAUCAGUUUUUGGAUGCUUAGUUAGGCUCUCAAAUUCUGCUAUCUCAAAAUUAAAUGAGAAAUAUGAUGCUCUGGUCCUUUAAUAAUAUAGGGACCUUCGCAAGUUACGCAUGUUGUGCCUUUUCAAGCCACUCUCUUCUAGCCAAAUGAGAUCCCACUUAUUGUAAGCAUCUCAUGGCCCUGCAGUUGCAUGUGCUCUUCCUUUGUCAAGAUAGCUUUCCCCUCUCCUUUUCCAAGUGAGAGUUUUAUCAUCUUUCUGUACCCAUCUCAAAUUCUCUCUCUACUCUAAAACUUUUCUCUAAGGUAUUUUUAGUUAUCUCUUCUUUUAUUUCAAAAAUAUAUACUGCUUCUAGCAGACUCACAGACAUCAAAAACAAACUUAUGGUUAUCAAAGAGGAGUGGGAGGGAAAGAGGGACAAGUUAAGAGCAUGGGACUGACAGAUGCAAACUACUCUAUGUAAAAUAGAAAAGCAACAGCUCAGCCAUAGAAAAAGCAAUGAAAUAAUGCCAUUUGCAGCAACAUGGAUGGACCUAGGAACUAUCAUCCUAAGUGAAGUUAGUCAAGACAGUGAAAGACAAACUUCAGAUGAUAUCACUUAUAUGUGGAAUCUAAAAAACAGGAUACAAAUGAAAUUAUUCGCAGAAUAAAAACAGACUCACAGACUUUGAAAAAUGUUAUGGUUACCAAACGCGACUGGGGUCAGAGGAAUGGACUGGAGUUUGGAAUUGGCAUAUGCACACUGAGGUAUAUGAAAUGAUUGGCUAACAAGGACCUGCCUUAUAGCACAGAGAACUUUACCCAAUAUACUGUGAUGAUCUAUAUGGGAAAAGCUGAAAGAGAAUGGAUAUGUGUACAUGUAUGACUGAAUCAUUUUGUCAUACAGCAGAAAUUAUCACAACCUUGUAAAUCAACUCUACUUCAAUAAAACUUAAAAAAAUAUAAAUAGCACAAAAUAGAUAAGCAACAGUGAUUUACUGUGUAGCACAGGGAAUUAUACUCAAUGUCUUGUAACUACCUGUAAUGGAAAAGAAUCUGAAAAAAAUUUAACUGAAUCACUGUGUUGUAUACCUGAAACUAACACAAUAAUGUAAAUCAAUCAAAUCAAUUGAAAAUGUAUCUACUGCCUCUAAUAGUAAUAAAAAUACAUUGUAUAAAAAUAGAAAUAAAAAGGUAAAAAUAAAUAUCAACUAUAACUCUAGGAAUAGAGAUAAGUACCAUUAGUAUUUAGUAUGAUUUCUUCCAAUUUAACUUAAUGCAAACCUAUUCUCCCUCUCCAAAAAGCAACCAGUUGCAACAAUAGUAGUAAUCACAAAGCCAAUUUGGGAACUAAUCUGUAGAUACUUCCCUAUUCUCUUUUCCACUUAUAUUAAAUCAUGCGCAUUUUUAAAUAGCUUCAUCUUUGAAAAUAUUAUUUAAAUAUUUCAGUCUAUCCCGUAGGUAGAGCAGAGUUAGUGGAAUUCCUCUCUUGUUGGCCAUCAAGGCUAUUUAAAAUAUUUUCCUUUUAUAAACAAAGCAUUCUUGUGUACAUCUAACACUAUUUCUAUAAGGCAAAUUCUUCAAAAAAGAAUUUCCUGGGCAUGUACAUUUCUAAUACUUUUGCAAUAUACUGCCAAAUGGGCCCCUGGGGAGCUGGCGUCAUCUUGCACUUCUGCCAGCCCCACACAGUAGCGCCUGAUUUCACUGAGCUCUUCCUGCAAGGGCCUCACUCAUCAUGUUGUAUUUUGAUGAUUUAUUACUUGUCCCUCUCACUCCCUAGACUACAACUUUCCAGGUGGCAGGAGCUGUGUCUGGCUCAUUUUGAACCCUAGGGUCUAGUGCAGAGCCUGCUCUGGAAAAGAAGUGCCAAGUGAGUCAAUAGAAUUAUAUUUUACCCGUUUUUGUCAUGUAUAUCUAUGAUUCUUAACUGUCCAUGAUAUUAAAAAAAUAAGAAAUUCUGCCAUUUCUACCAUGUCAUUGAACAACCUUGUGAUUUUGGUAUGUUAGUUUUAGGAUUGGCUUUGUUCUAGCCUAUGACAGAUUCCCUCUCGCACACAGUUUUAGUUGUGUAGAGCAUAAAUAUGGUCAUGAAAAGUGAGUUUGUAUCUAUUCCACUUUUGAUUAUGAGUAUUUUGAAAAAAAAAUCAUGAAGCUAGGUGUAAAAUGUGUAGGAGUUCCAUGCUGUUGGCAUAAUUGCCCUAGGUAACUCGAGUUAUAAAUGCCCACAGUGGUUAUAUAUUCAGUUUGUUAUCAAGUGGAAUUAUAAGAUGUUGAUGAUUUAUCUUUGGUUAGGUGUCUCUCCUUAAAUCUUUUAAUCAUUCUUCUCAAUGCAGUAUUGAGAUAUUGCUUAUCAAAUAGAACAUUUGCCAUCUGACCCUAAAAAUCACAUUAUAGUGAUGAAGUGAGAGGUGGGAUCAGGGUUUUAGUAACAGUGUCGGCAUGAAAUGUGGGCAUGGGUACAGCGCAGCAAGUGCUCAGUGCAUCCAGGAAGCACACCAUAACAGUCUGAAUUUGAAAUAAAAUGAAACAGCCUAUCCUUUAUAAUCCUGCAGGAUUAAGUUUUUAAGUUAUACCAGAUAAUACCAAGAUUACUGCCAAGAAUACCUGUUUCGGCCAGAAAAGAUCUAUUAAGUCAAGAACAUGGAGAGUUGGCCUCUCAUGGUGUUGGGAGCACAGAAUGGGGGUUUAGAUGCUGGCUGGGUGUGGCCAUGGGCUGCUUCUCCCAGCUCCCACACCUUCCUUUCCUCACUGAUGUACCAAGGAUAAGAAUGAUACAGACCCAUUUCACAGGUGUCAUGCAGAUUAAAUGAAUUUAGCACAUUUGGAACACUUUAAACAGUGCCUGAAACAUAUCUUUUAAAAUCAGAUUUUCUAAUGAAUCAAGAUCGCAAACUUCAUAAAAUCUUGUUAAUAAAGUUUAACCUAGUAGCCAAUGAAAAAGUCCAGACAAGGGAUGGGGAAAAAAUAAAAGAAAAUGUGUUUUAUACUGUAGUAUUACUGAAUACAAAACAUAUGAGUAAAGUAGCUCAGAAUCAACAUAAUUCGUAAAAUAUUUGAUCUUGUUUUCCUAUUGUGUUUUUAAGUUGAAUAUUAUAAGUUAAUAUGCUUAUUUUAUUAGAUUUUAACAAUAAAAUAAUUGAUUAAAUCGAUUACUUAGAAAUAAAAUAAAUUAUGAAAUUUAAACAGCCCAGCUUGUUUUGUAAGGAAGGAA